GACGAACGCUGGCGGCGUGCUUAACACAUGCAAGUCGAACGAUGAACUACCAGCUUGCUGGUGGGGAUUAGUGGCGAACGGGUGAGUAACACGUGAGUAACCUGCCCUGGACUCUGGGAUAACCCCGAGAAAUCGGAGCUAAUACCGGAUAGGACCUUUCCCUGCAUGGGGUUGGGUGGAAAGUUUUUCGGUCUGGGAUGGACUCGCGGCCUAUCAGCUUGUUGGUGAGGUAAUGGCUCACCAAGGCGUCGACGGGUAGCCGGCCUGAGAGGGUGACCGGCCACACUGGGACUGAGACACGGCCCAGACUCCUACGGGAGGCAGCAGUGGGGAAUAUUGCACAAUGGGCGCAAGCCUGAUGCAGCAACGCCGCGUGCGGGAUGACGGCCUUCGGGUUGUAAACCGCUUUUAGUAGGGAAGAAGGGCUUCGGCUUGACGGUACCUGCAGAAAAAGGACCGGCUAACUACGUGCCAGCCGCCGCCGUAAUAC
rnacentral:rRNA from 1 species